rnacentral:rRNA from 1 species
UACGUAGGGUGCGAGCGUUGUCCGGAUUUAUUGGGCGUAAAGAGCUCGUAGGCGGUUUGUCGCGUCGGCCGUGAAAACCGAGAGCUUAACUCUUUGCGUGCGGUCGAUACGGGCAGACUUGAGUUCGGCAGGGGAGACUGGAAUUCCUGGUGUAGCGGUGAAAUGCGCAGAUAUCAGGAGGAACACCGGUGGCGAAGGCGGGUCUCUGGGCCGAUACUGACGCUGAGGAGCGAAAGCGUGGGGAGCGAACAGGAUUAGAUACCCCCGUAGUCCCUGA